rnacentral:tRNA from 1 species
GUGGCAGUGGCGUAGUGGCUUGGUGCUGUUGAUGUGCACCAGAGGUUCUGGGUUCGAUUCCCAGGAGCCCCU